rnacentral:lncRNA from 1 species
GAAUGGGAUGUCGCCGCCAACUUAAGGGUGGCACAAUUGAAUGAGCUUGAUGAAUUCCGGUUCCAUGCAUAUUCAAGUUCGUCCUUGUACAAGGACAAGAUGAAGUACCUCCAUGAUAAGUACAUCCAAAACAAAGAGUUCAAAGAAGGCGAUAUUGUGCUACUGUUCAAUUCUCGGUUGCGGAUGUUUCCAGAAAAGUUGAAAUCCAAGUGGAGUGGUCCAUUUGAGGUUGUGCAUGUGACACCCUUUGGUGCAUUAGACUUGAAGAACAAAAAUGAUGAAGUGUUUAGAGUCAAUGGUCACUAGGUGAAAUAUUUUCUUGGCAAAGUUGAUGAUGGCCACGUUAUGGCGUUAAUUCAUUUCAAGUGAUUGAUGGAAACCUGCGUCGUGCCACGAUGUUAAAUCAGACGCUUCUUGGGAGGUAACCCAUGUGUCUUUUUCUUUUUAUUUUUCAUUAGAUAGGUUUUGUUUUGUACUAACUAGUUUUGAAGUGUAUGCAGGAAUGGAUGUGCAUUGCAGGGACUGUGUCAAAAUUUUUGGCUAAGUGUUGACAGAGUGCGGACCAUACAUUAAUUGUGUGGAUCACAUAAUUCUAAAGGCAGCAGCAGAAAUCACUCUGUGUCCGCACAAUUUUGUGUGCGGUCGCAAAACUGGAAGACAAAAAUUGCAAGUUCUCUGAAGUUGGCCUGUCAAAAUUCAUAGCCAAUCUGCAGCCGCACAUAAAAUUGUGCGGUCUGUACAAAUUCUGCGGCCGCACUCACUCUUAUGCGGACCGCAUAGUUGCUUCAAGGUCCAGGUAAAGAGUGUGGUUCGCACUCGCCUUAAGUUUGGGGCGACUUGGUCAACCUACAAAUAGAACCUCGAGAAACUAUUCAUAACUUUACCACUCUGAAGUCUUGAACCCUAAGCAAACACAGUGCACGAUCAAUUAAUUCACAAUCUUCCUUCAUUUCAUCAGUGCAGAUUCUUACCUGCAUCCUUCAUAACUGGUAUGUUCAUUACAUCUUUAGAUUUUGUAAUUUUGUUUAGUUUUUGUUCUUUUGUGGGGCAAGAUGUUAGACCUAAAAUGUCAAUUGUUAGUCAUGGGGACUUAAAAUCAUGUGGGUAGUUUCAUAUAUGUUCAUUAGGGACUGGGUAGACCAUUAAUCAUGUUAAUUGGUGCAUGCCAUGUCUAAAUUAUGAAAAAUUGCAUGAACCCUAACUUUACUGUCGUAAAUGCUCAAAUUGUUCGGCAGCACACAAAUUUGUGCGGUUCGCUGACCACUUGAUUAGGGCAAAUAUUGUGUUGAAAAGGGCGGACAGCACUCAAAAUUGUGCGGUCCACAAAAAACAUUGUGCGGCCGCAUAAAUAUGUGUGUGACCGCACUUUUGAACUUCAAAGAAUCAGUAUCUCAGGAUUGGACUUAUGCGGCCGCACUCAAAAUUGUGUAGCCGCAUAAAAAUGUGUGCGACCGCACUUGUGAACUUCAAAGAAUCAGUAUCUCAGGAAUGGACUUAUGCGGUCGCACUUAAAAUUGUGCGGUCCGCACUUUAGGAUGUGCGGCCGCACUCACAAUUAUGCGGUCCGCGCUUCAGGGUGUGCGAUCGCACUUCAAAAUUGUGCGGUCCGCACUAGACAGUCUGCGGUCGCACUCAGAAUUGUGCGGUCCGUACUGUCUCCUUUGAUGACUGUUGUGAUGCAAUUGUUCUGUAAAUGUUUGAAGUAUUUUGAACUCAACUGACCUAUAUACCUUGUAUUGCAGACAAUGGUUAGAUCACGUGGUAGAAGCGAUACAUCAAAAAGGAGAGGUGAAUCCUCCCGAUGCAGAGGAAAAGGCACUCGCUCUCUAUGAGUGCAAUCGAAGCCUAUUGCUAAAAAGCCGACCACCGAGAGAGGAAGGGCGACAGAGCCCUCAGAAUUCAGUUCCUAUGCCCCAUCCAGGGAAGCCUUCGAGGGUCAUUCAAUGGAGGUUCAACCUGAGGCCCAGUCCCAACCAUCCCAAACCACUGGGCAUUUUCAAUUGCGCGACGAACCUACAUCUAGUUCUUCUGGGGGUUCUUAUGCGGGAAGCCAGGGUUUCGAGCCCUUCUCUACACCUACUCCUCCGGCACCAGUACCUAUUGAUGUCGAUGAUUAUAAUGUCCCGGAUAAUGGUAGAGGGGGGACACUUAAGUAGGCGGCCUUGAGAGGUCGAAGAAAAAGGAAAUGUGGGAGGAUCGGUUCGUGAGCUUGAUAGCCUUCAACAGGUUCCGGGAAUUGUGGCCCCAUAGGUCGCUCACACUUGAGCGACAGUUCUUAUUUAAGGAUUUGGAUAUUCAUAAUCCAAAUGUCCUUAGACAGUUCCACGAGCGCAAGGGGUGGAAGUGGUUCACCCACAGUGUCAUCGAUGCAAAUGAGCACUUGGUCAGGGAGUUUUACGCCAAUGUGGCUCACAUCAAGAAGGUGACAAAGGUGAGAAAUUUGAAAGUCCGCUUCGACGCCUUCUCUUUGAACACUUAUGUAGGAUUCGAAGACGUGGAGGCAGUCCAGUACCUAGAGAAGUUGGCUCUGGGUGACGCAGCUCGCCCGUGGUUAGCUGAGAUUUUGGCCGCCCCAGGACCAUCACCACCAUGGAUUACAGCAGGAGUUCCUAUCCUUCGGGCCACCCUAAAUUUUGAAGCUAAAGGGUGGCAAAACUUUGUGUGUAGCCGGAUUGAUCCGAGUUUGAAUGAGAACAACCUCCCACUUCCCUGGGCGGUUUUGGUGGCUUCUAUUAUGGUGGUGUACCAGAUCAACGUGGGUGCCAUCAUGUCAACCAACAUCACAUUGGCGGUCCAAAAAAGUGAAAAGUCCUACCCUUAUCCAAACACCCUCACAGAGUAUUUCAAUGAUGCCAAGGUGGAGCCGAGGCCAUAUGACACAAAAGUAAAGGCCAAGAAGCCUUUCUCAUGGUACCACCUGCAGGGUGCUGACAACCCGAAGUUCAAGGGUAAGAUCACUACCACCGUUGGUCAGUCUGACGAGCCAUCGCUGGUGGGUUCUGAGGCUGCUAUUGAGCCAUCUACAACUCCCAUUCCUUCCACAGCAGCUAGGCCUUCCAUAGGGACAGCCACCAUGCCACCAUCUUCAUCUUCUAGGCCAUCAGCUGUAGUACCAGUGCCAGCCUCAUCCACUUAUCCUCUCACUGCGCUGCGAGUCUCCCAGACUUUGGCGAGCCUCAACAACUGGAUGCAGACAACCACUUCUAAGCUGUCUGACAUAUCCUGUACUGUUGCAGCACAGUCCUCCACCCCAGUAGCACCACAGGUCCCUCCGUCAGUGGAGGAAACAUUGAAGAAGAUUCUAGAUAAGCAGAAGACUAUUAUGGAUACUCUGGUGGCUCAGGGGGGUGCUAUUGAGGAGUAGACCAAGCAGGUGAAGAAGAUGAGGAAAUCCCACGCUUCAAAGAAAGUAGUGGAGAUUUUGAGCAGGGACGUGAAGAAGAUAGCAGCAAUAGGUGAUUUUCCCUUUGACCUACUGAUGGAGACAAAUCCAUCAGUAUCAGCUGACCCAACAGCACCAUCAGCAGAGGCACCAGCUGGACAGUCUGACGAGCUAGAUCUCACUGCCCCCACUGCUGAGGAGAUGAUUCAAAUGCUCACCAACCGUGUUGUCCCUCAGCCCGAUGAUGAUGAGAUACAGUUGGAGGAGACGGAGGGUGGUGAUGCUGCCAGUCACCCUGAGACCACAUAGGGAGUUUUCUUUACUCUCUAUCCCCUUUUGUUUUGAUUUUGCUAAGCACUGAGGACAAUACUUAUUCUUAUUCUGGGAGGUGGUCUAUUUUGGUUCAUUUUGGAUGACUGUGAUGACAUUUGAUUACAUUUGGGCCCGUAAUAACUUUAAUACUCUUUUUCUUUUAUCUUUAUUUUUAUUUUAUCCCUCAUUAUGUAUAUAUUCAUCCCGCUUGUAUAUAUUUUAUUCCUCUCAGUUUGUAUAUUCAUUUGCCUUACUUUUAUUAUUUUAUUUCAUAACUUCUUCAUUUUGUUUUCUUAAUAGUAUAGCUUCUUAGUUACUUUAUUAGCUUCUUUUUGAUUUGUUAGCUUCUUUUUAUAUGUUAGUGAACAAUAAGCCUUUGGUUUUCUUAAUGCUACAGUUCUUUCUAAAGGUGGGUCUUGUGUGAAUCGGUUGGCUCUUCCCAACGAUAGAUGGCGUGACAACUUUCUUAAGGGAUCGAGUUAGUUUUUGAUGAUUAGGUAGAAAUAAGUAGUAUUAAUGAAUAAAUAAGGGUCAAGCAUGCUUCACUUGGUAUCAACACACUUAAAUACGUGCUUAUGGUUAAAAAUAAGUUUUUAUAAAGAAAUAACCCUAGUUAGUGACCUUGAAACUCUUGUGUUGACUUAUGCAAUCAUCGAGUGGUUUAGUUGAACCUUUAGCGAUUUUCAAUCUUGAAUGUGGUUGUUGUGGGCCCUCGACUCUAUUCUCUUUGACAACCCGGUUGUGUGAGAGGUGAGGUAUUUUGUUACAAGUCCAAGUACUCGUGCGAGUGGUCUAGAACUUGCCCUGAAUGUGUUUUUAGGCGAAAUUCUAAGUUAGCCUAGCUUGAGAAGUGAUUGUAGGCUUUCCUUGAUCCGUUUUGAAACCUUCCAUGGCCCACCAAUGAUAUCAUCCUUAGUAAACCCUUAUGAGCCUAAAGCCAUUUUAUUCGAUAAUCACAUUACAAGCCUUUACCCGUUUUAUAUUGACUCUCUCUUGGUACCCAAACUUUCUUUAGCACUCAUGUGAUUCAAAUGACAAAAAUAUAAGUUUGGGGGAGAGACGAAGAGUUUAAAGAUGGUCUCAAGGCACAAAAAGAAGAGAGAAAAGAAAUGAAGAAGAUGAAAGGCAAAGAAAAAGAAAGGAAGAACUAAAGAAAAACACAAAAAGAAAGAGAAUAAUGUGAAAGAGUUGAAAAGAUGCAAAAGAAAGAAAAAGUUCAAAGCAUGGAUAACAAAGAAAGAACGUAUGAAUAGCAUGACAAAGAAAGAGUGAUGUAAGUCCCUCUAAUCCCUCUAAGGAAAAAGAAAAUGACUAAAAGAGUCGGCAAAGUAAGAGCCAAAAAGAGAAUAUGAAGUGCUAAUAGAAAGAUGAACCAAUUCCAUUCCGAUAUUUUCCUCCUUAAUCCAAAAGCCUUCAUUACAUGCCGAAAAAGCCCUACGCGAUUUCAAGCCGAGCGAGCUUACAUUAGUGGUGAUCUACAUGAGGGUCAAGCAUAUGGUACUUAGAGCCGGGCUUGUGACAUUCUUUUGAGAGUGAUGAGAGAAUCUUUCUCGAGUCAUUGAAUUGAAUUCUUCAUUUGUGAGUGAGAUGAGCUUCCAGAGAGUAUAGGAGGAGGAGUUUGGGAUCCACAGUGACCUACAUGAAAGUGCAAGCUUCCUUGAAGGACAAAGUCAACCCUUGAUGCUCAAGCGUCACAUUAAAGCCAUUUGUGCUUUAACAUUCAAUUCAUAGGCUUGUUAAUGAUUCAUGAGUGUGUGGGUAAUUGUUGGUCCCAAUUGAUUUGUGUUUGAUUCAACUUAGGCCAGCUGAAAUAGCCCUUUUCUAGUAGAGGUGGGAAAUUGCCUUAAUUGCUCGAGGACAAGCAAAAGCUUAAGUUUGGGGGAGUUGAUAAGUAGGGAUUUUGAUCGCUUAUUUGCUCUCUUUUACUUAUAUUUUAGCUCAAAAAUCAUUAAAGAUAUUUCCGAGAACUAAUGAAAUGUGCUUUCUUGCAGAAAUAUUGAAAAACGAGCCAAAAAAGUAAAAAUCAACUAAAAAAGGAGUAAAAUUGGACAAAAGCCAAAACAAGAAAAAAGGGCUACAAUGUGGACCGCACAAUACUGUGUGCGGCCGCAAACUCUGAAGAUGCACUGAUAAGAUUUCUUCACAGAGUGCGGACCGCACAAUUAUUGUGCGGCCACAAAGACUAGAUUCAGAGAGCUGUAAGUUUGGGAGCUUGAAGAUGUGCAGACCGCACUAUUAUUGUGCGGCCGUAGGAUGCCAAAAUGAGGCCGCACUCAUAAAUGUGCGGUCCGCAGAAUGAAACCCUGAUCCAGUCCAAGAGCAAGAGUGCGGCCGCACUCAGAAAUGUGUGGUCCGCACAAUUAGAGAAAGUGCAGUCGCAUCUCACUUUUGUGCGACUGCAGAAAGCUAUACCCAUCAGUCAGUCUCAAAGUGCGGACUGCACACAGAAUUGUGCGGCCGCACAACCUUCGCAGGGGCAAUUUUGUCAGAUAUUUUCAGCUGGGUAUAAAUAGAUCUUUUUGUCAUUUUUAGGUUAAGUUUUGUGCACCUGAACACUUAGAGCCAUUUUUAUUUACUGUAUUGGAAAACUUUGUACUAGUUUAGCAUUUAAACAUUAGAUUUUCUUUCCUUAAUCAAUUAUUAUGCAUUUUAUCUUAUUUUCUUCUUUAAUUUCUUCAUUGUCCAUGAGUAGCUAAACCCUUAGCUAGGGUUGUGACCCAACUCUAGUAUGGGUACUUAAUGGGUGAUUGAUUUAGGGCUUAUUUGUGAUUGGGUAUAUGAAUUUUAGCCUAGUUCUUGCUUGAAUUUGAGAAUUGAUGGUUGCAAACAUUGAUUCAUGCCUAAUUGACUUAGUCUAUACUUGAGAAAGUGAGACUAAGUCUAGGAAAUCUUGGCUAACAAGAAAUUGGAGUGAACUCAAGUAAUUGAUAUCCCCAAUUAAAGGGUCGAAUCUAGAGAUAGUAAGACCCGACUUGAGCAUUUAUCACUUGUUUCGUGAGAUACCCAUUUGGACUUGAGAAAGCUGAAUUGGGCAAAAUCACUCAAACUACCGAGAGGUAUAGAGUGAGUAAUUACGUGUGAUUGUUAUAUUAUAUCCCGAUCAACCAAACAUGCCCUAAGCUAUAAAUCCGUUAGGUAACCAACUAGGCGAAAGUCGCAACCCUAGAUCUUUUAUAGCUUGAAAAAACAACCAAAACAAAAAAAACAUCGUCUCUUAGUUUUAUAAUUACAAGCCUUAGCGUAAAAGUAGAAGUAGAAUCAAAAAUUGAAAAUGUGAAAGUGUAAUCUUAGGCACGCCAUACAUUCACACUAGGUAUACACCUAAUCCCACAUCAAGAUCCCUGUGGAAUCGACCCCGACUCGCAUUGAAUUUUUAUUAUUGCAUCGACCGCCUCGCAACCUAAAUUAGUGGUGUGAGUUUAGACGACAUCAGAAAUGUGCUUCAUUCCUAAAGGUUUCCCAAAGUGAGGGUUGGGUAUUAAACCUCUACCAUCUUUUAAUGUUAAUAGACUUUGUAAUAUCAUCCAUCCUUCUAAUACCCACGCCACCUUCCUCUUUAGGCAGACAAAAGUUCUUCCAGGCACUCCAGUGAUAGUUAUUUUUUCCUUUGGAAGUUCCCCAAAAGAAGUUAGCAAAAUGUUUCUCCAUGAGUUUGGGCACACUUUUAGGGGGAUUCAAGGCAGAUAGAAUAUAUAUGGGGAGAGAUUGUAAAACAUGUUUAAUUAGGAUCAGCUUGCCCCUAUAGGAGAGCAUUCUACCAUGCCAAGCAUUGAACUUCUUCACAAUAUUAGACAACAUACCAUCGAACAGAGUAGUAUUUUUUCUUCCUUGAUAAGUAGGACACCCCAAAGAGUUGAAAGGGAAACUUUUAUCCAUAAAACCUAAAACAUUUCUGAUCUUGUUAAUCCUGCUAGCUGAGGUGUUAAGGGCAGUGAUGAAGAAGCUUUUUGAAUUAUUAACUUUCUGGCCUGAAGCACUCUCAUGCCUCCUGAUCAUUAUCUUGAUAAGUUUAAUGGAUUUAUUGUCCCCUCCACUAAAGAUAACAAUAUCAUCGGCAUAGGAUGUGUGGUUAAUAAUGAGGCCUCUGAAAUCCAUAGUGAGUGGAGUAAAAUUGGUCAUGCCAAUGAGACUGUUGAGAGAUCUAGAUAAAAUUUCAGCUCCAAUAAUGAAAAAAUAUGGGGAUAAGGGAUCCCCUUGUUUGAGCCUUUGAAAAGAGGUGAAGAAUCCUUUUCUAGCACCAUUAAUAAUGAUAAAAUAUCAGACAUUAUCAACCAGUCUAAAGAUUAGGUCAAUCCAUUCUGCAUUGAAACCAAACUUCCUCAUAAUUUCCAUAAGAAGGGUACAUGAUAUUCUGUCGUAGACUUUUGCCAUGUCAAGUUUCAUAAUGAUGUUGUCACCAGUGUUAACCUGUUUAAUAUUCUGGACAAUCUCUUGAGAAAGCAGAACAUUUUCAGUAAUCAUUCUCCCUGUGAUGAAGUCGCUUUGAUUCUCGGAUAUGAUCUUGUUAAGCAAGGAAUUGAGACUUCUAGACAAGAUCUUAGAAAAAAUUUUGCAAGAAAAGUUACUCAGACUAAUUGGCCUGAGGUCAGAGAAAAUCGCAGGAGAUUCCACUUUUGGUAUAAGAACCAAACAAGUAUGUAAAUAAAAUUUGGUAAGCCUUCUACCAUUGAAUAAAUCCUGGAUAAAGUCCUACACAUCAUCUUCGAUAAUAUUCCAACUUUUGUGAUAAAAAAAUCCCAUUGUAGCCAUCUGGCCUCGCUGAGCUAAAAGAACUCAUGCUAAAGACAACUUCCUUGAUUUCCUCAUAUUUAGGUAUGGCACUGAGGUUGGCAUUGUCCCCCUCAGUUAUGCAGUUGGAGAUGUAGUUAAGAAUGUCAUUAUCUCUGAAAUCAUGAUGCAAGUUGAAAAGGUGUUGGCAAUGAUGGACCGCAACUUUAGCAAUGUUAUCUUCCCCUUGGAUCAAGUUGUCUCUAUGAUUCUUUAUUUGAUGAAGCUGAAGUUUUCUUCUUCUAUCUCUGAUCACACUAUGAAAAUAAGUGGUAUUGGAAUCACCUUCCUCAAACCAUCUGAUUUUAGCCUUCUUUUUUAACAAUGUAUCUUGCAUUCCCAUCCACCUGAUAUAUUCAGCAUGCCCUUUGUUCAGCUCUUCUCUGGAUUGAGCAUUGUUAUUGAGAAGGUCAAGCUCCUCCAGUUCUUACAUAUUUUUCUAGAUAUUGACUUGAUCAAAAACAUUACCAAUGACUUCUUUAGACUAGUGAGUAAGCUUCCUACUUAAGAACUUUAAUUUUUGUUGUAGCCUCCACAUAGGAUUUCCAGUAAUCUGAGUGUGCCACACUGGCACACUUCAUCUACCAACUGCAAAAAAUUCUGGUUGAUCCUUUCAGAAUUCAAGGAAUUUAAAAUAUUUGAUCCCAUUAUGUUGGCUAUUAUAGCUUUUAACAAUAAGUGGUUGAUGGUCGGAGCCAGUUCUAGCUAAAUGCCUCACCAUAUUAUGUUGAAACAGUUGAGACCAUUGACCAUUAAUGAAGACCCUAUCAAGUCUUUUCCAAAUCUUUUUUCUAGGCUCUCAAUUGUUACACCAUGUGAACUUGGGCCAACAUACCCCAAUUCUACAACUUCACACGCAGCCAUACAAUUGUUGAAAUCUAGACUUUUAUACAUUCUAUGAGGUCUACCCCCUUUCUUCUUUUCAGGAUCCAGAAUAAUAUUAAAAUCGCCACCGAUGUACCAUGGCCCAAUAAUCUGUGCAUUUUGCAUAAAUAACAGUAAGAAAGAGAUUGCAAUUAGCAUUGAUAUAAUUAAUUUGGAUAGUGAUCCGUUGGUCGUCAUUAGCAAUAACACUAGUUUGAUAGUUACCAAACCACAUAAAUCAAAUUUGACCAUUAGUGUUGGAGAUACAAUGUUGUAAGCCAAGAUAAUUCAUGUACCUUUCAAUUUUUUUCAUGGUGAUGAAGAGUUCCAGGAUAGAAACGAGUUCCACCAUGUUGAUGGUCAUAAGUUAUUUUAGCCUUUGAAUGGCAUUUUUAGAAUCCAUAUCUCUGAUAUUCCAGAAAAUGAUGUUAACCAUGGAAAAAAUCAGUGGGGGAUUAGUUUUUGUUACUUCUAUCUCCUGGAAGGUUAGCCGUGACUUUUUUCUUCUUCCCAUUUUUUUGUUUCUGUCCUUUCCAUUUUUAACAGGAGAGAAGUCAUCCUCGUUAGCUUGAUUCUUUUGUUCUAUUUGGAGUAGAUCUUCAAGAAUGGUAACCGUGACUCUAUUUGGAGAGGUGACCUCAAAAUGUUACUCUACUCCCUUCCUUUCCUGCUCUGCCUCUGGUUGCUUUUGUGCUGGAUCCCAAUUAAGAUCAACCACCAAGUCAAGCCUUGGCAUGGCCUUAACCUUAGAUGGUAUACUUGAGGACCUCUCUGAACUUACAUGGGUCGUGUUACAUUACCUCUGCCCUCUACAUUUAUCUCAUUUUCAUGGUUAUUGGUAGAGUCUUGGACGACCUCAUUAGAACUGUAGGUGGCAUCCUUCUUUGGACACAUGCUUUCAAUAGUAUUUUCCUGCCGGCCAUUAUUAUCUUUAUCUUCAUUGGAGUCAUUCUUAAGGUUCCCUGCUUGUUUCUUUUCAAUCUCUUGUUCACAAUGUUGCUCGAUAACCCUUGCCAAAUUACUUUGUCCCUCUUUAUUUUUACUUGCAGGUUGCUGGAUGAUGGAUUUAAACACCACUUUGAAUUUUUUCUUAGGGAGCCUCUUUUGCUUGCCCGCCUUCUUCUCUUUAGAAGUCCUUGCAUUGAUGGUUUGAUUUUGCUGUUGCACACUCUGUUCUUCAUUGUUCAAGACAAUUUGAUUGUUGCUAUUAGAAUUGUGAGCACCUAAUUUUUGAUCAUAUUUAAAUUUUUACCACUUUUUAGUAUUUAAAUAGUUUUUAAGUUUAAUCUUAAUAUUUUAGUUUUAUUUCACCUUUUUAUAGGUUUAUUUUAGAUAAAUUAAAAACAACAAAAAUAGUCACAAUUUUACAUAUUAAUUGUGCUCGUUAUCAAAAGAAAGAAAAAGGUUUCAAAAAUAUUUUUUUAACGGGUCUACUCUAUUUUUUUCAAGUUAAGGAUUUUAAUAAAUGAAAUUUGAGUAGUUAGCAUUUUUUUUUUAUCUUUCUAUAUUAAUCAAGUAGGAGUAGUAUUUUAUUGUAUUAACUAAUAGAAAGAAAGAAAAGAAAAUCAACAAAAAAGGAAACCAAACAAGAAUUGUCACAUGUCAAAGAUUCCCUCUUAUCCUUAGUAAUAAACUUUGGCACAAUUUCUCACCUGCACAUACACACUUGCAUAUUUCUUGCUCUCCAAUUCUUCUCCUCUCGACCAUUUUCACUACAUAUAGAGAGCAACACAACAAAGAAAGGGAGAAAAAAAUCAGAAACCUAGCAUCUUUCUUCCACCUAAAAUACACCCUUCAACACCCAAAAACACAACAGUAACUCCUCACCAAAACCUCAUCUUUCUCAUGUCAUUUUCAUCACCAAAACAACCCCUUUUGCCCCAGCCAAAAACCAAUCCAAAAGCAGCCAUAAAAACUCAUUAAAGCAACUCCAAAAUGAGCUCCAAAUAAUCAUCAAACUCCACUUGAAAUCUGCCGCAAAACCUCUCAAAACUCAGCAGUAAAACGGCCACCAAAUAGCUGCACAAAUACCCCCUUUUCCACUUUGAAGCAACCACAAAACGUCAUUAAAAUCACCCCUGCAAAAUCAGCUCCCUUCCACCUUAAAACAAUCCCCAAAAAUGCAGCAAAAUCAGUUGCGAAAUCAGACUAAAAAUGAGCUGAAAAGGGGGACUAAAAUCCAGCCCCAAAAAGCAGCGAAAUUAGCUCCAAAACAUCUCAAAAUCAGCCCCAAACUCAACCAUGAAUCACCUCUAAACUCCAGCAAAAUCCAGCCAUGAACUCCACAAAAUUACAACUGCAAAACAGUCCUAAAAGCCAGCCUUCCACCUCCAAAUACCACCGCUAAAGUUGCUGGAUCGGGGCUGUUUAGGUCAAAGUUGAGGUCCAUGUCGUGGUUCUCGGGUCGAGGUUUUGUUCGCAAUUUUGGUGUUGUCGCCGGAUUCCAUUUCUACUAGCUGAACAACUAUUUUGUUGAAUAAGAUCUUGCUCAAAUAAAGGUCCAUCCUCUACUCUACUAUUUCUAUUAGGCCACACACUUGCUCUUAUUUGUCAUAAACUGUAAGCACCUAAUUUUUUUUAUCAUAUUUAAAUUUUUCACCAUAUUGUAAAUAUAUUUUUUUGAAUUUAAUCUACAUAUUUUAGCUUUUAUUUUACCUUUUAUAGAUUUUAUUUAAGAAAAUUAAAAAUGAUAAAAAAGAGUAAUAUUUUUAGGAUAAGUUUUAUCUUCACUUACAAAGAAAGAAUUGUUUUUCAAAAAAAGAGAUAUAGUUUUUCUUUAAUUUAGUGCAAUUUUUAAGUUUAGAGACUUUCAACAAAUACAUUAAGUAUGUAGUACUUUUACCUUGUUAUUUUAAUUUAGUAGAAAUAUUAAUUUUACCUUUUAUUCAUUAUCCAUUUUAAAAGAAAAAACAAAACAAAAAAGAGAAUAAAUCACUUUUGGGAUAUAACAUUUUAGUAACAAACUUUGUCUUACCCAAAAGAUUCCCUCCACUCAGGUCACUCACAUGCUCACACCAGCACUCACUCUUUCUUGCUCUCCAAUUCACACCCCAAAAAUACUCCCAUUCAGCUAUAUAAACACACACACACACCAGAGAGGAACAGAGCAGGGGACGGACAAAAUUAGACCAAAAAGGCAGCAAGCUUUCUUCUUCUUCCACAGAAUUUCAAAAAACUUAUCUCCCUCACUUGGCUUCACUAUAGAACCAUUGUUUACUCCUAAAAAUCAGUCAUGAAGUCCCAACUCAAAACCAUCCAAAACACCAUCGUUUACAGCUGAAAAAACGCAGCAAAUUAGCCAUGAAAACAAAGCUGAAAACCAACCAAAACUCACCCCAAAACUGACCCCUCAACAGCCAUAUAAGAGCUCCAAAAGACCAGCCAUUUUCACCUCAAAUUAGGCCUCAAAACGCAGCUGAAAAAGCUGCUAAAAAUGCAGCAAAAACAGCUCUAAAACUCAACCAAAACUCAACUGAAAAACAGCACUAAACAGUCCCAAAAUCAGCUCCAAACGCAGUCCAUAACCACCCAAAAAACGAUCUGAAAAAUAAGCUGAAACUCCAUGAAAAUCAGCCCCAAAAACGCUUUCUUCUUCCUCCAAACAACCAUUAAAAGCGGCAAAACGCAGCUGCCAAGUUCACCCAAAAACAGUCCCUUGCUCAUCGUCGAAACGGAGAAUACCGGCGCAUUCUUGAUUAUCGUCGGAAGUCGCUGUUCGAAGGGGUGAAUGUUCGAAGGUUCUGGCCUGGUUUCCAGUCGGGUCUGUUCGUGUUUAGCUUCGUCGGCCUAAUUUUCUUUGUAAACCGGCAGGAGGCUCUUUGAUAAAUUGAAAGCUAUAAAAGGUCCAUUUUCUUGCACUUGCAACUUUAUUUUUGUCUUCUCAACUUUGCUAGCCGGAGCAAUGUCUUAGAUCCAUUUUGUUUUCUUUGGUGUUAAUAUAUCUUCGUAAUGACGUUGCUUGUUUUCUUGAUAUUUAAUUAUCCGUUUGUUUGGUGCUACAUUGAUGUGCAAGACCAUUGGGUAAAAACGUACAAUGAUAAGGUAAAAAGAGAUGUAAAUGGGUUUCAAUUCUAUUAGUUUUUGUUAUUAUAUUCGUUGGAUUAUCACUGAUAUUUCAUGCUAUAUUUAGUUUUUAUAAAAAAUUGAUUUUGUUCGCAAUAAUCUCUUUAUGUUCAUUAGACUCUUAAAUUAAUUAUUUGGAGUAAUGACAAAAUUUGCUGACUUGACCCCUUUGACUCUUCAAAUGACGAACCAUCUGAUUGUAAAAGGAAAUAUAUGGGCCAUAAGGUUUGGGGUGAGAAUUAACUUACUUUGGGUCGCUCGUGUUGUUAGGGGGCAUUUGCAUCUAUACCCAAUUUUUGGGUCACCUUUUAACUUAUACCCAUUUUGCAAAAAAUAAUUGUAAGCGUACCCAUUUUUUGGGUAACUUCAGACAUACGGGCCUGAAGUAGCAAAAAUUUAUGUCUGAAGUUUGAAUUUCAGAAUGUUUUGCCUGCAGCGUAACCUUAUCAAAGUAAAACUUCAGAUAUUUUUGCCUGAAGUUUGGCCUGACUUGCAAAGGCAAUCACGCAAAUUUCAGUUCAUAGUGCAAUGACAAACUUCAGUUCAAUAAAAC